AAUUAUUAAAUUAAGAUUCUAAUUUUCUAACAUUCUUUCAAUUUUUCACUCAAUAGUAGGGAUAACAAUCUAACUUGCUAUUCACGAGUCAACCCGAAUUUGGCUCAUUAAUAAACAAGCCGAACAUCGGCUGGACUUCUAAGCUCGAUAUUUUAAUGAGCCAGCUCGUAUUUGGCUUGUUUAUUGAACAAGUCAAGCAAGAGCAUGCCCUAGCUCGCUCGUGUUUGGCUCGUUAAGAGUCCUCACAGAUAUUAUUGCUCAUAAAAAUAUAGGGCGUAUUUGAUUUGCCUAUUUUUCACUCAGGAAUCAGAAUCAGAAUGUACGAGUCCGUUUGUAGGUGUUUAGUAUGCAGGAGUACCGUUCCAAUUCCGAUUUUCGGAUGGAAUGGAAAUUUCCCAAUCAUUUACGAGGCCGGUUUGAAAGUUGAAUCUGGACGGAAUUGAUGUUUGUUCGGAUUAAAUUUAACUUUUUAACCUUAUUUUUAAUUAAAUAUAAGUUUAAAUUUAGAAAUUAAAUUUAUAAUUUUAAAUUUUAAUUUGAACUUGAAUUAAAAACUAAAAUUCAAUCAAGCAUUUUAAAUCUAAUUUACGAAUUUCAAUUUAAAUUAAAAUUCAAUUUCAAGUUUAAAAUGAUAUUUAAAUUUAUUUAAAAUUUAAAAUAAAUUUUACGGAUUCAAAUUGAAAUUUAAAUUGUAUUGAAUUUGAAUAAACUGGAAUUUAGUUUUAUAUUUUGAAAUAUCCACUCGAUUUCAAAUUUUAAUUUUUUUCAAAAAAAUAUAUUUAAAAUUUUGACAUCAUUUCAAAAUUUUGAUGCAAAUUUUUAAUAUUUAAUUUUCAGUUUGAAUUUAAAUUAUAAAAUUCUAUAUUUUGAGUUGCGAACUAAAUUUUAAAUUAUUUUUAUAUUUUAAGGUUAAUUUUAUUUUAAUUAUUUUGUGAAUUUUUAUUUGGAUUG
rnacentral:lncRNA from 1 species